ensembl:lncRNA
CAAGACUAGUAUGUUAAAAAUUCAUCUGAAAUACUUUUACAAACAUGUUCAGUGCAGUGACACUGCUGGACAGGUUUACGGGGUUGUGUCAUAGACAAAUAUUCAUGUUAACAUAAUCAUGCAGACACCUUGAGGUGUGGGGAAAUACAUUCCAAUAUUUAGAAAAUGACAUUGAGCUGGACAAAAUAAUUUCAGAGUUUGGGUCACCAACUGUCACAAAUACAUUACAUGUCAUUUAGCUGACGCUUUUAUGCAAAGCGACAUACACUAAGUGCAUUCAACCAUAGGGAUACAAACUUAUGAAACAUGAAAGUGCAAACUCAAAUAAGCCAAUUUACAAUUUGCUAUAGAUAAGUGUCAUUAUAAGUACAAUUUAAGUGCUAGAAUUUGUUAGUCUUUUAGUCGAGGUAGAGUCUGAAGAGGUGUGUCUUUAGUUUGUGGCGGAAGGUGUGAAGGCUCUUUGUGGUCCUGGUGUCAUCAGAGAGCUCGUUCCACCAUUUCGGAGCAGGACAACAAAGAGUCGUGAUCUCGUUGAGUGUUUUGCUCUCAGUGAGGGAGGGACGAGUUUUGCAGAUGCAGAGCGGAGAGUGCGGGUCGUGAUGUAGGGUUUGACCAUGUCCUGGAUGUAAGCUGGACCUGAUCCAUUCACAGCAUGGUAUGUGAGUACCAACGUUUAGAACUGGAUGCGGGCAGCCACCAGUAGCCAGUGAAGAGAGCGGAGUAGAGUGGGAGAAUUUCGGAAGGUUAAAGACCAGUCGAGCUGCUGCAUUCUGGAUGAGCUGCAGAGGUCGCAUGGCGGGGAAACCUGCCAGGAGGGAGUUGCAGUAGUCCAGGUGGGAGAUGACAAGAACCUGAAUCAGUACCUGCGCUGCCUUCUGAGUGAGAAGGGGACGUAUUCUCCUGAUGUUGUAGAGCGUGUAUCUACAGGUGUUGUCGCAGUGAUGUUGGGAGUCAGGGAGAGUUGACUGUCGAGUGUCACGCCAAGGUUUCUAGCAGUCAAAGAGAAGUAGUUCAGUCUUGUCGGGGACGAGAGAAGGGAGAGAGCAGAGCCUGAGACACAAAGUUCCUGAAGGGAGGAAAUAAGGAUCUGGUGGUUGACUGUGUCAAAUGCAGCAGAGAGGUCCAGAAGGAUGAGGACAGAGGAGAGAGAGGCGGCUCUAGCAGUGUGGCGUUGCUCUGAGACAGCAAGGAGAGCAGUCUCUGUGGAAUGGUCACUCGUCACUUGUUCGAUAGUGCACUCAAAAA